rnacentral:rRNA from 1 species
CUCAGGACGAACGCUGGCGGCGCGCCUAACACAUGCAAGUCGAACGAGAGAGAGGGAGCUUGCUUCCUCAAUCGAGUGGCGAACGGGUGAGUAACGCGUGAGGAACCUGCCUCAAAGAGGGGGACAACAGUUGGAAACGACUGCUAAUACCGCAUAAGCCCACGACCCGGCAUCGGGAAGAGGGAAAAGGAGCAAUCCGCUUUGAGAUGGCCUCGCGUCCGAUUAGCUAGUUGGUGAGGUAACGGCCCACCAAGGCGACGAUCGGUAGCCGGACUGAGAGGUUGAACGGCCACAUUGGGACUGAGACACGGCCCAGACUCCUACGGGAGGCAGCAGUGGGGAAUAUUGCACAAUGGGGGAAACCCUGAUGCAGCGACGCCGCGUGGAGGAAGAAGGUCUUCGGAUUGUAAACUCCUGUUGUUGAGGAAGAUAAUGACGGUACUCAACAAGGAAGUGACGGCUAACUAGGUGCCAGCAGCCGCGGUAAAACGUAGGUCACAAGCGUUGUCCGGAAUUACUGGGUGUAAAGGGAGCGCAGGCGGGCGAUCAAGUUGGAAGUGAAAUCCAUGGGCUCAACCCAUGAACUGCUUUCAAAACUGGUCGUCUUGAGUAGUGCAGAGGUAGGCGGAAUUCCCGGUGUAGCGGUGGAUGCGUAGAUAUCGGGAGGAACACCAGUGGCGAAGGCGGCCUACUGGGCACCAACUGACGCUGAGGCUCGAAAGUGUGGGUAGCAAACAGGAUUAGAUACCCUGGUAGUCCACACCGAAAACGAAGAUUACUAGGUGUUGGGGAUAGCCCCUCUCAGUGCCGCAGUUAACACAAUAAGUAAUCCACCUGGGGAGUACGACCGCAAGGUUGAAACUCAAAGGAAUAGACGGGGGCCCGCACAAGCAGUGGAGUAUGUGGUUAAUUUCGACGCAACGCGAAGAACCUUACCAAGUCUUGACAUCCCUUGACGAUGCUGGAAACAGUAUUUCUCUUCGGAGCAAGGAGACAGGUGGUGCAUGGUUGUCGUCAGCUCGUGUCGUGAGAUGUUGGGUUAAGUCCCGCAACGAGCGCAACCCUUAUGGUCAGUUACUACGCAAGAGGACUCUGGCCAGACUGCCGUUGACAAAACGGAGGAAGGUGGGGAUGACGUCAAAUCAUCAUGCCCUUUAUGACUUGGGCUACACAAGUACUACAAUGGCGUUAAACAAAGAGAAGCAAGACCGCGAGGUGGAGCAAAACUCAGAAACAACGUCCCAGUUCGGACUGCAGGCUGCAACUCGCCUGCACGAAGUCGGAAUUGCUAGUAAUCGUGGAUCAGCAUGCCACGGUGAAUAAAAGCCCGGGCCUUGCACU